rnacentral:lncRNA from 1 species
GCCCUGUCACGCAGGCCUAGAUUUGUGACCCUGCUCAGCCACUUACAAGCUGUGUGACCUUCAGCCAAGUCGCUUAAGCUCUCUGAGACUUGUUUUCCUCCUCUAAGCAUGGGCACAGGAAGCAUACUCACCCUGCUCACCUUGCAGGGCUGUAGUGAGGAUCAGACAGGAUGGAGACGAAGGAGCUUUGGGAAUGAAAAGACCCUGGACAGAGGUGGUAUUGAGAGUGUGGGAGCAGCUUGCAGCCCUCAGGGGGAUGGAGCCCCUCCUCCAGGGAUGUUUAGCGUCAUAACCUGGUGUGCUUUGCUGCCGUGGCCCACCCUCUGGAUUUCCUGCCUCGAACUCACAUGUGGUGUGUGUGAUGUAGGUUUCUGUUUCCUUGUCUGUGAAAUAAGAGGUUGGACCAGAUGAGUUCUUAGUUCUACGAUUCCACGAAUGUCUUAGAAAGCAAAAUGCACAGAGCCAAAUUUCCUUUGCCAUGCCGAACGCCAGGGCAGCGGAGCCAGCAGUGUCGAUGCUGUAAAGCCCCAAGGAGAGUUCUAGACGGAAGGGCGCUGCUGUGUCCUGGUAAUGAUGUCAGGUGACUCAGACAGGUCUGGGACUGGAGAAGCUGGCUGUCUUGUCUGAACCUCCUUUGAAGUGGUGGUUUGCAACACUUUUACGAACUGGAGGUUGAACGAGAACAUGAAAGUCAUCUCAUUGGUAUGUUGUAUUUUCCCAAACACACCAUUUCAAAUCAAAACAUGGAAACAACUGUCUUAUUUUAGGAUUAUGCUUUGUAUUUGAACAUGCUGCUUACCAUCUAUUAGCUGACGGGGCUCUGGGACGCUCAGAGAACGAGUGACUGAGGUUUCCAGUCCUAAGGAGGUUGCUUUCAGCUCAGUCCAGGGAAGGAGAUUUUAACAAGCUGAGCUGGCCUUUUGAGGUGAGGAAUUGCCCGUCAAAGAAAAGCUCAGUGCUUACCCUCCCAACUCCCCGAGGCUCUCCUGCCCCCGAGUCAGGGAGACCCCUCCCCCCCAAAGCAGCCCCUCCUCCUCACUCUGCCAUGCCAUCCUGGCUUAGUGCUUUCACACUGAGCACUCCCUAAAAGUGCCACGUUCGUUUAGGUUUUACUUGUUGGUCAUCAUCUCACCAAACUGAAGGUAAAGUCUGGCAGAGCAGGCGCCGGGGCCCUGUUCACCGUGCUCUCUCCAGUGUUCCAUCUCCUGGCACUUAGCGGACACUCAGCAAAUACUGAAGGGAUAAAAUUCUGCUAUUGGUCCAGGGCUUUCUAGCUUCCAGUUUUGCAAGCCCAUCGUCCUACGGGAUUAGGCACUUCAAGAGCCUGGUUGCAGAUGUUCGAAGGAGCCGUGGUGUCCUGCGGUUAAUGAGAGUGGAGCCAGCACUGGGAGUGGGAUGUGUUUAGUCUUUCGUGGGCUGUGUGUCCUUGGGUGAGUCACCUAACCUUUCUGGGUCUUGGUUGCUUCAUCUGUAAAGGAGAGAGCUGGAUUCAGUUAUCUCCAAGGCUCUUUCCAGCUGGACUCCCUCGGGAUUCAAGGAUCCUGUGUUUGCACUCUCUCCUCUGUUCUCAAACUGUUUGUUCAGCUCUCUUUUAUUAGGGGUUCUAGGCCUAUUAAAACAGAAAAAAAAAUUAACUAGCCUUGGG